GGCCUGUAAUUUUCAUCAUAGGUAUACCUCAACUAUAAGAGACAAAAUGAGAAGGAAAAAAAAUCCAGAAAAUCACAUUGUAGGAGUUUUAAAGAAUUUAUUUGCAAAUUAUGGUGGAAAAUAAGUAUUUGGUCAAUAACAAAAUUUCAUCUCAAUACUUUGUUAUAUACCCUUUGUUGGCAAUGACAGAGGUCAAACGUUUUCUGUAAAUCUUCACAAGGUUUUCACACACUGUUGCUGGUAUUUUGGCCCAUUCCUCCAUGCAGAUCUCCUCUAGAGCAGUAAUGUUUUGGGGCUGUCGCUGGGCAACACAGACUUUCAACUUUUCGAUGGGGUUGAGAUCUGGAGACUGGCUAGGCCACUCCAGGACCUUGAAAUGCUUCUUAAGAAGCCACUCCUUCGUUGCCCGGGUGGUGUGUUUGGGAUCAUUGUCAUGCUGAAAGACCCAGCCACGUUUCAUCUUCAAUGCCCUUGCUGACGGAAGGAGGUCUUCACUCAAAAUCUCACGAUACAUGGCCCCAUUCAUUCUAAUAAAUAAAUAAUAUUUUAUUGUAUUUCUAAUUCGUGAUUCGUUUGUUUUGCUCUCUGCUCUUCCGCUUUUGUCACUUCUCAUCGGUGCAUGCACUACACCGAUGUCCUGCGUCAUCCGCCCAGAAAGGCUUCCACGUACAACAUUUAGCGCAAGCUAGAGAAAAGUGUUUAUAACGUUUUAAAUUUGGAUAUUUUUCUUACAAGAACACAUUGAUUCGCUACAGGAAGCCUUUAUUCACCACCCAGAGACGUGUGAGGCAUGUUUUAUUAUGGAUGGAUGCACUUUAUUGCACUUGUUUUGGACUGUUGAACAGAAACACCCACCCACUGCCAUUAUAAAGUUUGGAUUAGCCAGGAAAUGUUUUAAUAUCAUUCCGAUUGGAUUCGUCUGAAAGAAGAAAGUCAUAUACACCUAUAGGUUGCCUUGCAGGGGCAGUUUUGUGAUGCUGUAAAUAGGAGUGGAUAUCUUGCUUGGCUGAAAACUGCAGAGAAACACAUCUCAUCGUGCUGAAAAAAAGAAUGAGAGUAUUCUCUCCAAGGAGGUCCAAACACCAGCACAGACUUUGAUUAGUGAGCAUUAACAUGCAUUCAGAUUUUAUGGUAAUGAAUGGAAUGCUGUUGUUUAACCUCCUAAAUGUCAGCAUUAUAAACCUUAUGACAUUAAUGGACCAAAUAAGAAUGUUUUUUGCGUCUUUGCACUGAUUUGCUUCUACAUUAUGAUGUUUAAUUGUUGUAAGAACAUGUUCUUUACAUGUAUUGAAAACAUUGAGUGUGAAGACAUUUUGGUGUAGGGAAAAAAUAUUUACAAUGUUUCAAUAAAAUAAAUAAAUGUAAACGUGUAUUGUUUUGUGGGUUUAUUUAAUAUUUUCACCUGAACACUGGUGCAGUGUUGACCAGUUAAUCCAUAAGUGUUAACUUUCAACACCAACUUUGGUGUUCUCAUCAUCCAUUCUGGUUUUGAUAUUUUACAUCAAUUACUUUAGAGUUUGUUAGUUAACACUGUCAGAGUGUUAAAAAUGUUAACUCUUUCAAAAGUGUUAAUUUAACACUUUAGCAGUGAUUCCCAUAUGUACGUGUUAAUUUUAACUCUGAGGGAGUUAAAUCCACUCUUUUAAAUUUGCUGAUGAAAAUUACAGGCCUCUCUCAUCUUUUUAAGUGGGAGAACUUGCACAAUUGGUGGCUGACUAAAUACUUUUUUGCCCCACUGUGUAUAUAUAUAUAUAUAUAUAUAUAUAUAUAUGCAACAUUUAUGCAUGCAAGAUAAUAUAUAUUUUUAUUGAGUGCUAAACGAACAAAUGCCUUAGAAAAAAAAAUCUGUUUUCCACAUGACUAAACCCCAUUAUUGCUCACCCCUAUUGCUCAUUUCUAUUAUUAAUUUUUACCACCAAGAACAAGCUAUGGAGCAAUAUUCACAGCAUGAAUGGAAUUAAUAAUCUUUCAAAAUAUUUAGGGAAGCAAGUUGAGGUUUUGUUUUAGUUGUGUGUCUUGUGCAGCCUUCGGAGGCCAUAUCAUAUCAUCUCAACUCAACUCAACUCCCACACACAGGAAAACAGCAAACAAUACAAGAACAAGCUGACAUGUCAGUGGGUGAAAUGAGAUGCAGUUAACCACAUCCCUGGGGCCUUCACACAUGCUAGUUAGAUGUAGAUUUUAGUGAGAAAAACGCACCACACCACAGCACAAAAAAUGAAACAUGUUUUGCAUUACAGAAGCAUGCUUUGCAUUUGCAUGAUUCUGUGCAAUUGAGAGUAUUGUCAAAGCGAAAGAACACAUUCACACCUAUUGUCUCUUUUAUAGUCUAAAAUAUGUUCUGAGAAGACCUUAAUGGGGAAGUAAUGCAAAAGAAUGAACUGAAAACUUUGAACUGAAAAAUAUUUUAAACGAUUGAUAGGUGCACAAACAUUCAAAUAGGCCUAUAGAAAUGUCUUUAUUUUUCACUUUUAUGGUCUCUUAAAACACAGACAAAAGGAAUAAUUACUCUAUAAAAUACUGUUUCAUUCAGUUCAUAGACACUUUUGUUUUCUACUUAAAGGUGCACUAAGUUAAUUGUACCUCUAAAAAGUGACAACCUAAAUAUAUUUACAUCAAUGUGUAGUAAAAAAGUUGGUUAAUUUAACAAGCGAAAUUCUAAAUCAAAUCACAUGACUGUCGAGUUAAUAAACACAAAUAAUUUGCGUGUAAAAUGUACCCCAAAAACUCUCCUCCGGAUUCACAGACUCUUCAUAAACUUCAGAUUUGAUAGUUAAACAUGUGUAUGUUAAUGAAUUCCAAUCAAUCGUAGAUAGGGUGCUCGUGCACGCUCAUUCACAAUUAGCAUAACCCCCGCCUAUGAAUUACAGCUACAAAUUGUGUAUCCAGGAAUGCAGUGGAAUAUUCUGGUUUACUUUCUCAGGUUUGGCUCCAGUAUGUUGCAUAAAUGCAAAAAAAGACCAAUAGGCCAUAUGCCUAACAAUAAAUAUUCAAUAAUGUGUGUCCACCAAAGCCUUUUAGCCAGCUGAAAAAUGUCAGGCGCUCUUCUUAAAACGGCCAGCUGGUGGCGCUUGAAAACACUUUGGUGUAGAGGUCUGUGCGGGACUGUUUUUUUGUUUUUUAAGUCCCUAGGUUAGCCUAGAGUUUAGGCUAUAUUCUGCACCAAUCCGCUCCCGCGAUAUAUUCACGCUUUGUUCACCCGCUGUCCGCUUAGAACAAUUUCCUUCCCGACCCGACCGUUCCCGCUAAAUUUAGAUCUGGUUUCCAGAAUCUCACAUUAAUUUCCUCUACUAAAAGAAAGAUAGAUAGGCUAACAAAUAAAUGUGUAGUCUGCACAAAAUUGUAUUUGUUAUUUUAUUAGUCUAGUCAAGAGUCUUGAAUUUAUUGACAGCACAAUGUUAAACGAAUUUGUUUGUUUGAUUACAAUAUUUAACCGUGAUUAAUCGCAUGAUUGUCAUGAGUUAACUCGUGAUUAAUCGCAACUUAAUCGCACAUUUUUAUUUGUUCUAAAUGCACCUUAAAUGAAUACUUUUCAAGAUUUUAAUACUCUAAUCAACAUACGGAUGCUUUAUGCAAAUGUAUGUUUAUUAUUAUUGAAACCAUAAUCAACAGAGCAUGAAGUCUACAUGUUUCAAAGGUCAUAGAUGUUUUUCAGAGAACUUGUUCAUGUCUAUUAGACACAUGAAAAAGGAAAUACCAGGUUCCCAUUACUUCUCUUUCUUUGCACGGAGCAAUUUACUGACACAAACCUGUUUACAUUUUUGCAGGACAGGGCAGCUCACUUCUUCUGAACAUGCAAAAUGUACAUUUGUUAUCAGAUUUGUUUGUGUCUCUGUGCCCACAUACUGUAUUUUGAUGCAGCUAAAUUCUCAAUAAAACUGUUUUCAUUUAUAUAUUUUACUGUUUCUGUUAUCAGACAAUGGAAUGAAUAUGAAAUAGUGACUGAACCGCGACCAAGACUACAUAACCAGCUCUCCCUUCCAAGAUGUUAAUCUGCACGAAAAUCCUGAUAAUCGAGCCGUCGUCUGAUGAAAUCAAAUACACAUAAGAUAAUGACAAUAGCUGUGCUGUGAUUUCGGCUAUAGCCUACUUGCAUGUAAAAUUAGAGAAGCAUCAUAAUAUCUGUAAUAUCUUAAGACAACACAAUAGCAAAAAGUGUCAGAGAAAAAAAAUGUACGUUGUACAAAAAUAGCCUGUAAGCUAUUUUAUUCGUCUUGUCAAAAUACAAAAUUUGUUUAACAUAUUGCUGUUAACACAGUAGGAAAAGUGUCACAGAGAAAAAUAAAUAAAUACGACAUCUGCCAUUUAAAAUUAUAGGCUAAGCAAAAUAUAAACCAAACAGAGUUGAACGUUCUUCAAGGACAGCUCAUCCACACUUUGCUCCAUCCUUAUUCUGCUCUGUCACUCAUCGACAACCUGCCUGUUCUGUCUGAGGGCCGUAUAUUUACCACCGGUAGGCUACAGCCUGCUCUGAGCAUCGUUAUGCACAUACUGAAACACAGACCCCAUAAAUUAAAUGAAGCAUUGGUUCAUGCCUGCAGCGCAUGCAUAACAGUCCUGAGUGCAGGCUGUACCGGUGGUCGAUGAGAAUAAAGCGCAGAUAUGCUGUUCUGAAAGGAAGUCAGGAACAGGAUAUUGUUAGACCGCCCGCUCCCGUUCAAAUGACACCAGAUUUACCGACCGCUACCGCGUUUUAUUUGGGGAUUUAAUCCCGCGUCGCAAGAAAUCUGGUCGGGUCCCACGGUUCACCUCAUAAACAGACUUAAAUUUAAGUCGUUAUUCACUGUAUUCUAUUAUUUGAAAGCUAGACAACUCUAGAGGUUACUCGCGGAGUAACAUUGUUUUGAACACUUGAGUUGUGCUUCGGCUGAUUGUGUCAUUCAGAAUUGCUAGGAAAAAAAGGCUGAAUUGUGAGAUAAAAAGUAGCAAUUUCCUUUUGUAUUCAGUGGCAGAAACGGGCUUCCAUAACAAACAGAUCAAAGUGGUAAUUGCUUUAGGGAUUGGUAUUGUUACCAACAUAAACAUUGUUGUAUAUUAAUUCUUAUUGCCUAUUGAUUGUAUAAAGUAUGUUGAUUCUUGUUUUAUUACAGAUACUUUAGCAUUCCCUUUUUGGUUCAAUAUUCAGUUGUUA